ACUUUAUAAUCUGUGAGCUUCAGAGUGAGCAUGGUAAUUCCCAGAGUUAGCAAUAAACACCAUUGUAAAACUUUGCCCUGUAUUCAUAUGCGGUAUCUGGAAGAACUUGCAUUACGUGUCAUUUGCUACGUUUUUAACACUGAAACUCCUACGGCAAUUCACGCUACCACGACACCAGCCAAUCACUCUGAAGGCUGAUAUUGAUUAUGCUGAACACUUAUUUAAUGUGUUAACAGAAAUUAGGCUGCAUUAUGAUAUAGACAGGAGAAGAAUACAGUUCCUGAUGGUCUCUCGACCUCUUUUCAACAGCAGUAAAGACGACAACUUAUCUUCUUUCUAACAUGAAUUGGGAUACUUCAGCAUUGAUAACGGAUAGAAAGGAUCAUUCAAGACAGACCACUGGUGCUCUCAUAUGUAACAGCAACUCCAUGUGGACUACACUGACUUCCAGUGGAGAUGCUGUUACUUUUGAUAGCGGCUCAAAGACUCCGGAUCAGCUGUUCCUGGAAUUACAUCUAUCCAAUGUUCAAGAUCUGAAAACAGCUUGAGUUUUGAAAUGAAGAACACGUAUAAAGAAGUGCUUGCAUCUCAUCCACAUUCAAACAUCUUCAGUUUAUACAAAUCCUCAAGACACAGCCUGCAGGGAUGUGACAGAUAAAGUAACAAAUGGCUAAACAGCAGAU